AUCCAGAUGAUGAGUCCCAAAUAGGACGAAACGUGCGUCCUAGAU
rnacentral:hammerhead_ribozyme from 1 species